rnacentral:rRNA from 1 species
AGCGGAGGAAAAGAAACCAACAGGGAUUGCCCCAGUAACGGCGAGUGAAGCGGCAACAGCUCAAAUUUGAAAUCUGGCCCCAGGCCCGAGUUGUAAUUUGCAGAGGAUGCUUUUGGCGCGGUGCCUUCCGAGUUCCCUGGAACGGGACGCCAUAGAGGGUGAGAGCCCCGUACGGUUGGACACCAAGCCUUUGUAAAGCUCCUUCGACGAGUCGAGUAGUUUGGGAAUGCUGCUCUAAAUGGGAGGUACAUUUCUUCUAAAGCUAAAUAUUGGCCAGAGACCGAUAGCGCACAAGUAGAGUGAUCGAAAGAUGAAAAGCACUUUGAAAAGAGGGUUAAACAGCACGUGAAAUUGUUAAAAGGGAAGCGCUUGUGACCAGACUUGCGUCCGGUGAAUCACCCAGCUCUCGCGGCUGGGGCACUUCGCCGGCACAGGCCAGCAUCAGCUUGCCGUCGGGGACAAAAGCUUCAGGAACGUAGCUCCUCUCGGGGAGUGUUAUAGCCUGUUGYAUAAUACCCUUCGGCGGGCUGAGGUACGCGCUCCGCAAGGAUGCUGGCGUAAUGGUCAUCAGCGACCCGUCUUGAAACACGGACCAAGGAGUCAACCUUAUGUGCGAGUGUUUGGGUGUUAAACCCCUACGCGUAAUGAAAGUGAACGCAGGUGAGAGCUUCGGCGCAUCAUCGACCGAUCCUGAUGUUCUCGGAUGGAUUUGAGUAAGAGCAUAUAGGGUUGGACCCGAAAGAAGGUGAACUAUGCGUGUGUAGGGUGAAGCCAGAGGAAACUCUGGUGGAGGCUCGCAGCGGUUCUGACGUGCAAAUCGAUCGUCAAACAUGCGCAUGGGGGC